AAAUGGAAGGUUGGCUCUAGGACCAGAUGCAUCAGGCUUCAGGUAGGCUCCUGCUUAUUUGGUGAACUCCCUUUUCCUUCCUCCUUAGCCUGAGAUUUAAUUUCUGCAUCUAUGAAGUGUGGGUAAUACUGCCUGUCUCCAAUCCAUGCUUUAAGAUUGAAAGCAACAAUGUUGAUGAAUACACUUUGCAGAGCAAAUAGUAAGUGCUUAAAACUGCUGGUUCUUCUUUCCUUUCUUCCCAAGUUGUAUUCAUCCACACCGAAAAUGCAGAGAGGAUAGAACAAAAGUCUAGAGCUUAGGUGUGUACUUAUUUUUUCUUUGCCUUAUUGUACAAAAGGUACACUUUAGUGGAGGCAGAUUAUAUUCCAUGGUGUCUUUGGUUACCUGGGAAAUUAAAUGGAUCAAGUGUUAAUGAUCUCUGAACUGCUACUCUUCUGCCAGCCCCAACCUUGUAUCUACCCCAGUGCUUUCCUUUCUGGAAUUGAAGCAUAAUUCUGCACCCCAUCUGCCCUUCUUGCCAAAGCUUUCCUUGUCUUCUUUGACCCUGAACCUCCUAAUGCUUCUUUGCCGACACUUCUUCUUCCUCCUUGUUUCCAAAGGGCUCUUUUUUUCCCAAUAAAUUGAACUUUCUUUUUCUUUCUUUUUUCUUUUUUUUUUUUUUUUUGAGAUGGUGUUUCACUCCUGUUGCCCAGGCUGGAGUGCAAUGGUGCAAUCUUGGCUCACUGCAACCUCCGCCUCCCGGGUUCAAGCGAUUCUCCUGUCUCAGCCUCCUGAGUAGCUGGGACUACAGGCGUGCGCCACCAUGCCCAGCUAAUUUUUUUUUGGUAUUUUUAGUAGAGACGGGGUCUCACCAUGUUGGCCAGGCUAGUCUCCAACUCCUGCUCCCAGGUGAUCUGCCCGCCUUGACCUCCCAAAGUGCUGGGAUUACAGGCAUAAGCCACUGCGCCCGGCUGAACUUUAUUUUUCUACUUCUGCUCUCUUUCCAGUUCCACUUAUCCCAGUGCUGUCAAUUUUCAGCCCCAUAGGGCUGAUUCACAGUUCUUAGUGCAACCUCACAUUUUCUCUGCAGUUAAAGUCCCUAAGUCUACUAAAGUGUCUGCCAGUAUCGGUGCCAUGCUGCGCUGCAUGCUGCAUCUCCCUGCCUUUGCUGUCUGCAUGGGUCACAGUCUCUACAAUCCCAGAAUUUACAGUUAGUAACCACUGCUAGUAUCUGCUUCCUCCACAUUUGUGGAGGAUGAACUGGGAUGUUGCACAAUCUUCUAGCAGUCUCCUUAUUUCUGGUCUCUUCCCUACUAGUCUCUCAUACUUUCAGCAUAUAAAUUAAGCUCAGCUCAGAUCAGGCUAUCCUUUGGUUGUUUAUGGCUCAAAUUCUGGGUGCUUCCACUUGGAAUUCAAGACCUUCUAAAUUCAUUAAUUCUUAUUUUUUAUAAGACAGGGUCUCACUCUUUUGCCCAGGCUGGAGUGAAGAGGCAUGAUCAUAGCUCACUGCAGCCUUGACCUCCUGAGCUCAAGUGAUCCUCCUACUUCAAGCCUCCUGAAUGCCUGGCUCAAGGCCUUCUUUAAUAUAACACCAUCCCCACCAUGGGCCCCACACACCAGGUGAACUGAAUGACUUACUGUCCCCUGUAUGCAUCCUAUAAUUUCCUGCCUCCCUGGUUUACUCCUGUUUCUCCCUGCCAAAAAUGCUCUUACUCUUAGCCUGGCACACUGCUGUGCACCUGUAAUCCCAGUUACUUGAGUCCAGCCUGGGCAACAUAGUGAGAUCCCAUCUCUAAAAAAAUGUUCUUACUCUGUUUCCAUAGAGUCAGAUUCUUCAGCUUUGAACCCAUCUUUUCCUUGAAGCCUUUCCUUAGGUUAUAGCUGGAAGCAAUCUCUCUGUGAACUACCAUAUGCUUUUUUAAAAAUAAGUUUUAUUGAGAUCAAAUUCACAUACUGUGCACUUCACCCAAGUGUACAGUUCAAUGUUUUUAGUUGUGCAACCAUCAUCACACUCAAUUUUGGAAUAUUUUCAUCACCCCAAAAUGAAACCCCAUAUUUAUUAAUAGUCAUGCCUAAUUCCUCCUACCACCAUCUCCAGCUUUAAGAAACCAAAAUCUACUUUGUGUCUCUAUAGACUUGUCUAUUGUGGACAUUUUAUAUAAAUUGAAUCAUACAAUGUGUGGUCCAUAGGAUUAAUUUGGCCUUCUCUUACAGCAAUUUUCUGUUUUUACUUGAAUGAGGAAAUUAACUACCCUCCCAGUGUGUCGAUUGGGGCCUAUCUCUAAGACCACCUGUACCAUGUACCCAUUCAACUGGAUUAAUAUACUUACUGAAUGAAUAAACAAAUGAAUGAAACAAAAACUUUAGUUUUCACCGGGACUGGGACUUGAAUGAGGGAACUAAGGUGCAAAAUGUAAGGAGACACUCGCUCCAGGGCCGUGCAAGAGAAUGAAUGCCUCCUUCAAUGCUAUGCCC
rnacentral:lncRNA from 10 species